rnacentral:rRNA from 1 species
GACGAACGCUGGCGGCGUGCCUAAUACAUGCAAGUAGAACGCUGAAGAGAGGAGCUUGCUCUUCUUGGAUGAGUUGCGAACGGGCGAGUAACGCGUAGGUAACCUGCCUUGUAGCGGGGGAUAACUAUUGGAAACGAUAUCUAAUACCGCAUAACACUGGAUGACACAUGUCACUUAUUUGAAAGGGGCAAUUGCUCCACUACAAGAUGGACCUGCGGUGGAUUAGCUAGUAGGUGAGGUAAUGGCUCACCUAGGCAGCGAUACAUAGCCGAGCUGGGAAGGAGAUCGAGCACACUGGGAAAGAAAAACCGGCCAGACUCCCAGCGGAAGGAGCAGGAGGGAAACAUCGGCAAUGGGGGGAAAGCUGAACGAGCAACGCCGCGUGGGUGAAGAAGGGUUUCGGAGCGGAAAGCUCUGUUGUUAGUCAAGAAAAAGCGUCAGGGUGGAAAGUUCAUACUGUGACGGUAGCUUACGAGAAAGGAACGGCUAACUUCGUG